rnacentral:lncRNA from 1 species
AAUAGAAGUGUUUCAGGAAGCAACAAUGGAAGCAAUGGCCAAAAUGGGGGCAGCACAGCAGUUAAUGCUGGAGGAAAAAACAUGGAAAGCGACAAUGGACUCCCUGGGAAUAGUGGCAGCGGCGAUGCUAGUGGAAGUAGAAGUGCCUACAGAGUAGAUCAAAACAAGACUUCUCAAAGGGAAGCAGCCUUAACUAAAUUUCGCCAAAAGAGAAAAGAAAGAAAGGAGAGGUGCUUUCAUGAAAAGGUAACAGUCCAUAGAGUACUUAAGUAAGUGAUUUAAUAUAUAUUGCUAUGAUGUUGUAGAAACUGGAAAUUAUAUGUUGUAGACUAUAUAUACUUCUUUUUCCCAGUGGUUGACCUCUGUAAACAUAAUUCUCGAGAAAAUUUCAACAAAAGAAAUUGAAUAUAACAAUGGGAGAAUUCCUAAAACCCCUGUUGCCUAACUAUUUUUCACCAUCUCACCCCUCAAAUAUAUCCAACCUUCUGGUGAUGAUACUAUAGUCUUUCCCAUCUCUAUUCUCUCCACCUAGCAGUUCUUGCUCUAUAUGAAAUAGGAAGAAGAUUAGGAGAAAUCUCCCUUGUGUGUCUUUGCAUACACAUUUAUGAUAGAAGAAAUAUGGGCUAAGCCCAAAUACAAAUGAAUAUGUAAGAAUAAAAUAAAAUAAAAUAAGAACAAUGUUUCCCUAAUAAAUAUAUAGGUACUAUGUUUCUCUAAUUAACAUAAACAUAAUAUAAACUAAAUAUAAUAUCUCUAACACUCUUCCUGAAGUUGGAGCAUAUAAAUCAUAUGUUCGAAGCUUGUUACAAAGAUAGUCAAUUCUAGGUCCUCGCAAGGACUUAGUGAAUAUGUCUGCCAACUGGUUGCUUGAGUUAACGAACUCAGUUUUGAUAUCUNCAGAUAUGAUCUUUUCUCUAAUAAAAUGGCAAUCAACUUCAAUGUGCUUGGUUCUCUCNUGNAAGACAGGGUUAGAGCUAAUAUGAAGAGCAGCUUGAUUAUCACAUAUAAGUGUCAUGUGAGUGAUAUCUCCAAAUUUCAAUUCACUAAGUAAUUGUUUAAGCCACACAAGUUCACAAGUAGCUGAUGCCAUAGCUUUAUAUUCUGCUUCUGCACUGGACCUAGCCACAACACUUUGCUUCUUUUCCAAGAUAUCAGGUUGCCACCAAUAGAGACACAAUAUCUAGUAGUAGACUUCCUAUCAGAAGGGGAACCAGCCCAAUCAGCAUCUGAAUAGCAAACGAUUUUUGUAUCGUUGUUGUUAGAGAUAUUAUAUUUAGUUUAUAUUGUGUUUAUGUUAAUUAGGGAAAUAUAGUCCCUGUAUGUUUAUUAGGGAAACAUUGUUCUUAUUUUAUUUUAUUUUAUUCUUACAUAUUCAUUUGUAUUUGGGCUUAGCCCAUAUUUCUUCUAUUAUAAAUAGAGAACCCUAUGUGUGUAUUUAACACAAGGGAUUAAUUCCAAUAUAUAAUUUUCACUAUAUUUAACAGUUGUUAGGACCAUAUAGCAAAUCUUUUCCAGGUGAUCCUUUAAUAUACUUCAGUAUGCGAACAACUACAUCUCAAUGGUCUUCACAUGGGGACUUAAGGAAUUGACUCACCACACUAACUGCGAAGGAAAUGUCAGGACCCGUAACAGUAAGAUAGUUCAAUUUACCAACUAAUCUUCUGUAACGUUCAGGAUUUGAGAAAGGCUCCCCUUAAUUUGGUAGGAGCUUGAUGUUAGGAUCCAUAGGUGUCUCAACAGACUUGCAGUUCAUUAACCCUGUUUACUCCAAGAUGUUUAACGCAUACUUCCUCUGAGAUAUGACAAUACCAUCAUUGGAUUGUGCUACUUCAAUACCCAAAAAGUACCGGAGUUUGCCAAGAUCUUUGGUUUGAAAAUGGUGACAAAGGUGUUGUUUCAUCUGAGAGAUGCCAAGGUAGUUGCUUCCUGUGAGAACAUUGUCAUCGACAUACACUAUUAAGUAGAUACAUCCAGCACUUGAGUGGUGAUAGAACACUGAAUGAUCCGCUUCACUGCGAGACAUACCAAAUUGUUGAACAACACAGCUGAAUUUACCAAACCAGGCCCGAGGAGACUGUUUUAGGCCAUAUAGGGAUUUGCGAAGAUGACAUACUAAUCCAGAUGACUCCCCCUGAGCAACAAAGCCGGGUGGUUGCUCCAUAUAAAUUUCUUCGUGCAAAUCAGCAUUAAGGAAAACAUUUUUGACAUCAAGUUGGUAAAAAAGCCAUUGUCGAAGAGCGGCCAUGGCAAUGAAUAGGCGAACCGAGGUCAUUUUUGCCACUGGAGAAAAGGUAUGACGAUAAUCCAAACCAAAAAUCUGUGUGUAGCCUUUGGCAACCAGUCAAGCCUUCAAACGAUCAAUUGUACCAUCAAGGCCAACUUUGAUAGCAUACACCCACCUGCAACCAACAACAGACUUUCCAGAUGGUAAUUGGACAAGCUCCCAAGUUCCACUUUUCUGUAAAGCACUUAAUUCAUCCAGCAUGGCUUGACGACAACCAGGAUGAGUUAAGGCAUCACCCACAGAUUUGGGAAUUGACACAGAAGAAAUGGAUGAGAGACAUGUGUAAAAAGAUGGAGAUAAUCUGUGGUAACUAAGAACAGUAUAAUGGGGGGAAGGGUUACGAGUGGAGCGUAUACCUUUACGGAGUGCAAUGGGCAGGUCAGACUCAUUUGCUGGAGCCGGAGGAGACACAGGAGGCGACACUGGAAGUGAGUCAUGAGACGGCACAGGAUUGCAGCGAUUAUAAACCUGAAGGGGUGGAGUUGAAGGACGAUCCUGUGGGGAAUGAGAGUCUAAAGAAAGAAAAUGAUCACAGAAAAAAAAAGGAAUAUCAACAGUAGCAGGUGGAGGUACAAAUCGAGAAGAUAAAUGUGAAAAGUAAAACGAAGAUUCAUCAAAAGUGACAUAAGCCGAGAUGAAAUGACGAUUGAGGGAAGGGGAAAAACACUUAUAGCCCUUUUGUGACCGCGGAAAUCCUAAGAAGACACAUUUGUGAGAUCGAGGAGAUAACUUAUCAAGACCAGGACUAAAAUCAUGAACAAAACAUGUAGACACAAAAACUCUAAGAGGUAAUGGAUGUAAAGGGUCUUGAGGAAAUAAGAUAGAAUGAGGGAUUUUGUUAUCUAGGACAGAAGACGACAUGCGGUUUAUGAGAUAACAUGCAGUGAGAACUGCAUCACCCCAAAAACGUGAGGGUACUUGACCAUGGAUUAGAAGUGUACGAGUUGUUUCAAUAAGGUGUCUAUUCUUGCGCUCAGCCACCCCAUUUUGUUGAGGGGUAUAGGCAUAUGAGGUUUGGUGACGAUGAGAAGCCAUAAAAUGUUUAAAUGGUUGAGAAAGGUAUUCACGGCCAUUAUCACUGUGUAACGUGCGAAUAGAAACCCCAAACUGAGUUUUUAUUUCAUGGAAAAAAGUUUGGAAAAUAGAAAACAACUCAGAACGAUUCUUCAUUAGAAACAACCAAGUACACCUAGAAUAGUCAUCAAUAAAGGUAACAAAAUACUGAAACCCUAAAGUUGACUUAACAGGACUAGGUCUCCAAAUAUCAGAAUGAACCAAUGAAAAGGGGGAUGACGCUUGUUGUGAAACACUACGAGGAAAGGAACUAUGAGUAUGUUUACCUAAUUGACAAGACUCACACAACAAACUUGAUAAUUUUGACAAACUAGGAACAAGUUGCUGCAGUUUGGCAAGUCUGGGAUGACCUAAUUGCGCAUGAAGAUGGGAUGGUGACUCCAUGAUUACGCAGUUUGGCAAGACUGGGAUGACCUAAUUGCGCAUGAAGAAGGGAUGGUGACUCCAUGAUUACGCCAACAUGUGGAGAAGGGCGGAGAUGAUAUAGGCCAUGAGACUCACGUCCUAUGCCAAUCAUGUGUUUUGAACUCCGGUCCUGCAACCAAACAGAGUCUUUGGUAAAUGUAAUAAUACAAUUAAGGGAACGAGUUAGACGACUGACGGAUAAGUUAAAAGGAGACCCAGGGACAUAAAGUACAUGAUCAAUGGACAUGGACGGAAAAAUAUGAACAGUACCAAUACCAUGAGAUGAGACUUAUACCCAUUAACCAUUGUUACCGAGGAUAAAUUAUCCGGAUAUGACAAGGAAGAAAACAAGGACUUGUUACCAAUGAUAUGAUCGGUGGCACCUGAGUCAAGGACCCAAGAUCCGAGAGAGUGAGUCAGACCAACAAAAGGAGUACCUGUGAGUGUAACAGAAGCAGAUGUAGUGGAACUAGAGUGCUGACAGUCCUCAUACCAUCUGAGAAAUUCCUGAAAGAGUGUAGGGUUGUCUAUGCUAUUUGAUGAAGUAGGAUGGUCUGACUGGCGAGACAGACUCCGAUCAUCACGUUGGAUAGCUAUGGAGAGGGAGAAAGCCUAAAAAUUCAACGUGCUCCAAUUGGCGCAACGACCACAAAUCCAGAAAGAGGACGAGGAGGCGAUUCAGAUGGAGUGGUCGCCGGUCGAUUCUGGAACUCCGGCAACGGCUCCGGCGAAACUCCGGCGAGGCUCCGGCAACGGCUCCAGCUUCGGCUCUGGCGAAGGCGGCGCCGACGGCGGCUGCGGAGGCUGCGGAGGCUGUGGAGGCUGCGACCGUGGAAGAGGCCGGAUCAGAACCUAAGCUCUAGAUACCAUAUGAAAUAGGAAGAAGAUUAGGAGAAAUCUCCCUUGUGUGUCUUUGCAUACACAUAGGGUUCUUUAUUUAUAAUCGAAGAAAUAUGGGCUAAGCCCAAAUACAAAUGAAUAUGUAAGAAUAAAAUAAAAUAAAAUAAGAACAAUGUUUCUCUAAUAAACAUAUAGGUACUAUGUUUUCCUAAUUAACAUAAACACAAUAUAAACUAAAUAUAAUAUCUCUAACACUCUAAACAAUAUUCUUUAGCUUUUCUGUGCUGUGACAUGUAAAGACAGUGGCACUCCCUUCAAGGGACAGUCAUGUCCUAGCAAGAUGUUGUCAUGAGUGAAACAGCUAGCUGCCAGUAUGAAUUUUGGUCAAAAUGUGCUGCUUCUGUGACCCAACGAUCUUUGGAGGAGUGGUAGGGUGUUGAAACACUCUAAAUGGGUAUGGAGGUGACUUGCUAACUUGGACAUGAAUUUGUACUUUUGAGCAGUUUUGUAUGAUCCCGCAUGAGUUUAUCUUAGUAUUGAGAUUUUAUUCCAAAACCAUUUCAGCUCAAUUUGCUUGUGUGAGCACGAAAACUGAGCUUACAAAUUAACACUAUUGUUUAAUAAUCUUGCCCUAAACAUUUUCUCCUUGGCAAAGGGUAAAGUCACCUCAGCUGAUGAUGUUAGAGGCCCUUUUCCAUUUUGAAGCCAAGAAAUUUCUUACACCCCCUCCAAAUAGAACACUUUUUUUUUUUUUUUUUUUCUGCACAUAAGACACCUUCAAUUGUAAUUUAACAUCCUCCUAUCCUUAAAGCAUUUGAGGAAAAUAUGAUGUAUAUUUUCUGAUUUGGGAAAUAUACAAAAAAAGGUAUAAAUAGAAUACAAGGGAAUAAUUCUUUAUACUAAUCUAUCCCUGAAAACCAGGAAAUAAUUCUCCCAAUAAAUGCUCUACCUAUAUUAGGAAAUAAAACUAAUCAUAUUUACAUUAAGGUUUUAUUAUGGGCUGUACAAAUCAGAAUUGAACGAUUCUGAUUGAUAUCUGCUGAUCUCCAACGCUCCCCCCAAUCUGGGGUGGUAGAUUUCUAUCAUACUCACAGUGGAUCUAAUGUUUUCAUGUGUUCCUUGGAAGAGCCUUUGUCAGGAUGUCUGCUGUUUGUCUGAAUGAUGAAACAUGGUCAACACUUAUAAUAUCAUGGUCAGCUUUUCCUUUAAUGAAGUGUAAGACAAUCUCCACAUGAUUUGCAAAUCAUGGUGGACUGGGAUCUUUGCAAUGGUUAUAGUAGCUUUGCUGUCACAUAAUAGCAUAAUUCAUAGGAAUUCUGAUUUCAUCCAGCAUCCUCUUAAGCCAGAUUCCUAAACAGAUAAGCCUUAACUUUGAAUUUUGGUGCUCACUACUCCUUGUCACCAUCAAUUGCUUCUUGCUUUUCCAAGUCACGGAGUUUCCCCACACAAGAGAGGGUCAUCCUGCCCAAUCUGAGUCAGUAUAGACUUCAAUGCCUCUGUUUGAGUUCUUCUUGAAGUAGAGCCAUUGACCUGGUGUGCCUUUGAGGUAUUGGAGGAUUCUGUUUGCUGUUUUUUCAUGUGGGCUUCAUUUGGGUUAAAUGUAUAGCAACUAGCCAAGCUCACAACAUACUAGGUCUAGUAUGAGUUAGGUAGUGAUGAGUCCGUUCCGCGACAGAUCAGCGAGGAAACAUCAAGUCUGACAUAGUUCGAGCUGAUAAUCCAAGAAGCAGUGGAAAGCACGAUUUGGAAGUCGAAGAUGCAGCGGAAGACUGAAGACGAAGGCUAACCCUAGGUUUGGAGAUUUAAUCGGUGGAUAUUCUAGGGUUUUGAUGCAGAAGAGGUUUAAUCGGUGGAUGAGUGAAAUAAUCGGUGGAAAGGGGAGAUUGAUCGGAGGAAAAGCUUUUAAUCGAAGCAAAGGAAGAUUUAAACAGUGGAAGUGUCUAGAAUCCGAUUUCAAUCGGUAAAAGAGAUCGUGGUGAGAUUCUAAUCGAUGGAAUGGUGACAAACCUGAUAGAAGAGGCUGUCCUGGGCUUGGAUUCGUGACGGAGUUGAGAUUUGGUGAUGGCAAAGCCAACAAUGGAGACCGUUGGGGAGAGAGGAAGCAAAAUAGGGUUCGGCGUGAAAGGAUGAAAUGAAAAAAGGAAGUGACGCUGUAUUGAGGGAACUCGCGAGGCAAUACGCUCGCAUGGCAGAGCUGAUGACGCAGCGAGAGAUGACGCAUGCCAAACAGUGGAGUGGUGAGAUGGAUGCUAUAGAGGAGUGAGAAAUCUGAUUAAGGAAAUGAGAGAAAUGGUAGUAUGAGAUGGAAGGUGGCUAGAGGAGAUCCUUUGGGAUUCUCUAGCCUUGACUUUCAAGGUAGAGCAGAAUUGCUCUGGAGUAAUCUCUAUAGAAUGACAAUUCAUUUAUGCUCAAAAGUGAUUGCAAGAUGUGUUGGCAUGUCUAUAUAUAGGAUUAAAAGUCCCAAAUGCCUAACACAUGUUAUACAUGUCUAAUAAAAAUAAAAGAAAUGCUAAACCAAAAUAAUUGGGCUUGGGUCAAGUCAUCAGGUAGAUUUGCCUCCCAACUAGGUUUUGAUAUCUAUCUUAAUCAGCUGGUGGACUUUCCACUUCUAUGGGAGUAUUGGCUGCCUUGCACCCAAGCAUGUUGGUUUCUUGAAGUAAUUCCAGUUUGUAUUUCCAUUUUGAUACAUAAAUAACAUUUUUUGUCCAAGCAAUUGCCAUCCCCAUAAAAUAUUUGAGCUGAUCCAAGUCCUUGACUUCAAAUUCCCUUUAGAUGCUUGAUCUGAUAAUAUUGUUUUUUGUGAUAGCUACAUCAACAUAAACAAUUGUUAGAAAUAUUAUAUUUAGUUUAUAUUUAUCUCUUAUCUUUAGUUAGUUAGUUUAUAUUUCUUAUUUAGUUUGUUUGUAUUUCUUAUUUGUAUUUUGGGCUUAGCCCAUAUUUCUUCUAUUAUAAAUAGAGAACUCUGUGUGUAUUUAACACAAGGGAGAUUUCCCCUCAUCUCUUUCACUAUUUCAUAUGGUAUCAGAGCCUGGUUCUCUGAUUCUUUAGCCGUUGUCUUCGCUGUCUGCCGGCGGCCGGCAGCCAUGGCCUCCGGCAGCCCCUACUAAAAGUCUUUCGACCUAUGUCAUUCUGCUGCAUCCAAGAAAGGCCACUGCCUCCGCUGUGCAUCGCCGCUACUCGCCAUCGGUCAUCAUCCUUCGCCGUCGUCCGCUGCCGUACACCGUCGCAGUUCUGACCGGUGACCAGCGGAUCUGGACCACCUCUUUGAGCGACGGCCAACCACACUAGUUCCGAUGGCUACCUCCCAUUCACGCGCUGCCACGAGCGCCAAAUCUGUCCGCCUCCGGUCAUCGUCCGCCGCCGACCACCGUCUCAUUUCGCUCAACGUGCCUCCACGUGCCGUCUUUCUCCUACAGAUCUCGGACACGUACUGUUCACGCGCCGCUGUCCCGGUGUCGAAAUCACACCGUGCCUCUGCCUGUCUUCUUGCCAGAGCUUCCUCUCUUCGGUAUGACCCUCUAAAGCAGCCAUUGCUGCCAUUGUCAUUGUCUUCAGCAUCUUCGUCUUCUCGCUGCACACUUUCGGAUUGCGGAAUCUUCCUCUCGUAUCUGUGUUCUGGUGUAUGCCGCCACGAAUGGGUUCUAAUUCCCUUUUCUCGUGCUGCAUCGAUUGGACCUUCUUGCCAUCUGCUGCUUGUGCCGCCACUGCAAUCAGUCACUGCUGUCACAAUCUGUUGCCAGUCCUACCUCUACUACUUCCGCUAUCUUAUCUUUUCUGAAAGGUCUUCAAGGAUAGUUAGUGGUUAACACCAAGAAAUUUCAACACUAAAAUUAUGGGUUGAAACAAUUUCACCAACCAUUUGUCAAAUCUGUCAGAUUUGUUUUUGGGUGCUUUGAUGAAUAAGAGCUCAUUAUGAUCUGUCAUCGGCGCGCCGUCAUUUCCGCCGUUCGUUGUGAGGGGGAGUAUGAACCAGGUUUUAGGCUUUCAGACUCCACUAGUCAAUGAUGACAGUCCUUGCAGUUUUGUCGCUUUUAGCCACUACAGGCCCCAUCAGUCAGUGAUGACAUUCCCUGUAGUUUUGUUGCUUUUAGCCACUACAGGCCCCAUUAGUGAGUGAUGACAUUCCCUGUAGUUUUGUCGCUUUUAGCCACUUCAGGUCCCNUCAGUCAGUGAUGGCAAUCCCUGUAGUUUUGAUGCAAGCCCCAUCCUUACUUGAUGGCAAUCCAGUCCCUGAAGUUUGUCAUUGUUCUCCUUUGUCAAAGUCAUCCCACUUGAAGUUUCAUGGUGCUAUUUGAAGUUUCAUGGUGCUGUUAGUUGUUCGUCGACAUGUGAUUGCGCAUUUGUUUGCCACACACUCUUGAAGACAGAUCAUAUAUUUCAAAUUGAGUUUAUUUAUUCCAAGCUUGGUCCAUACAAUCUGUAUGCUCCAGCUUGAGGAGGAGUGUUAGAAAUAUUAUAUUUAGUUUAUAUUUAUCUCUUAUCUUUAGUUAGUUUAUAUUUCUUAUUUAGUUUGUUUAUAUUUCUUAUUUGUAUUUUGGGCUUAGCCCAUAUUUCUUCUAUUAUAAAUAGAGAACCCUAUGUGUGUAUUUAACACAAGGGAGAUUUCCCUUCAUCUCUUUCACUAUUUCAUAACAAUGAACAAGGCUACCUUCCUUUCCAUGGAGUGUUUGAACCUGUCUUCCUUGACAACUCAAGUCAAUCCAUUGAACCAUGCUCUCAGUGAUCCGCUGUCUUUGAAACUAUCAAAUUAAUACUACUUUUCAAGGCAACUUCAGUAUUGCCAAGUCAGUAGUCAACAAAGUAGAUAGGGUUAAAGUAACCCUUAGUCGUCUUCCAACAAAUAAGGAAUUGCUUUUCAAUAUUUGACUCUUAUGAAUGCUAUGCAAUGCUCAAGAAUAAAAGUGAGAAACUAUGCUAAUGGAAUUAAUGUUUGAAGAGUGUUUGAAGAAUAAAAGAGGAAACUUAAAAACAAUUAUGAUGAAAUAGGCUAAUUCCACUUCUUUUCCAAGAUAGAUUUAUCAUCGGUUAUCCACAUAUCAUUGUUCAAUUGAUUAUUGUUUAAGUUCCAAAUUAAUUAAAGUACAUUCUUAAUUAAUUUGAGGGCGAUCAUGCAGUUAAUCAAAGUAGAUUCUCAAUCAAAUGCAAGACUUUUCUCGAUUAUUCACAAUGAAUUCAAUAAAAGUAUUUUCUCAAUCAAAUUCUCUUGUGUUUAAUCAUAUCUAUUCUUUAAUUUCCUAACCAAUUAAAAGCUAAUUAAUCAAAGUAAAUUCCUAAUUAAUUAUAAUUGAAAUUAUCACAACCAAUCAAAGUACAUUUUCAAUUGAUAGUAAAAACUCGUUUAAUCAUAUGAAAGUUCCUAAAUUCAAUCAAAGUAGAUUCUCAAUCAAACCUAGAAACCUUUGAACUCAUGAUUAAUAUGCAUGUAGACUCAAACACCUUAUGAUGCAAAAGUCAUUGCUUUUAAUAUGAUUGAGAGAUGAAAGACAUAGAAGAAGAAUAAUUCAAAUCAAUAAUCAAAAGAAACAAUUGUAUUAAUUCAACUUAAUCUCAGAAUUCAUAAUGAAAUUACAGUGGAAUAGUCCUAAAAGCUUAGCCCUCCAUAAACAAAGUGAAACACAUGGUGAAAUAGAAGUGAGAGGAGUGGUGGAUGAUGGCUUCCAGUGGAGGAGUCUUAGUGAAUGAAUUAUGAUUUCUGCCUCCCCUAGGUCUCUUUAUAUAGGCUUGAUUGGGCUUGGAUUCUGAAUCUUAUGUUGAUAAAAUCUUUUAUCUUAUAUCUAAUAUCUUCCAAAUAUUCAACAGAUUAAAUCAGAUUUUGAGAAUAUUUGAUAAUAUAUUCAAAAAGAUUUAGCAUAUAUUAUCUUUUGAUAUUUAUUGAUAUUGUUAAAUAAGGUAAUUAUUUAACAAUAUCAACUAAAAUAUCUUAAAUAUAUUUUCUUCAAAUUAUCUUUUAAAAUAUCUAACAAAUUUAAACUUGUCCAAAAUUACAUUUCAACCCUUUUUAUUUUAUUCAAAAUUGCACAGAAGUCUAGAACUUUCCUCCAAUUUCACUUUAACCAUCUCUUUCUUUUCAAAAUUGCAUAGGAGUCCUGAGUUGACUAGAUUAGACUAGCUUUGACCAUUCAAUUUUAUGCUUUAAAUGAACAAGAUUCUAACUUCAGUUAUACAAAUAAAUAUUAGAACAUCCAAAAUAAUUUAUGUAACUAAGAAUCAUAUUUUAAGUAUCUUUAAUUCCCAAAGCUAAUAAAUUCAAUCGUCACAAAUUCACUUUAAAUCAAUCAUUUUAGCACAAGAAUCUUAUAAAAAAUUUGAAUUUUAAAACAUAAAUAUGGAUAUAAAUAUGCACUCAUUAGUUAUAUAGAGAUUUUCUGAGCUUGCACACCGUGCUUGAGGUUUUGGAUGAUUCAAGUCCUAGGGGAAUUUUGCAAAAAGACUACUAGUUCACUGUUUAGGAAGACAUUCUUGAUGUCUAGUUGAUAAUGUGGCCAAUCUAAAUUUACAGUUAAAGAGAGUAUGACCAAAAUUGAAUUAAGUUUGGCCACUUAUGCCAAAGUCUCUUCGUAGUCCAUAAACCCUUUUGUGAUUUACCAUGUGCCACUUUUGAUCAAGGCCUAGACAUCUCCUGUUGCGGUUGCCCAUUCCAGCUGUUGGAGUGCCACUCUAACAUUCCUUGGGAUAUGUGUGCUGUCAAGGGAUGCCACAAAAGACCUAUACCUCGUGACAAUUUUCUGUAGGACACAUUUCUCAAUCGGGAUUGUCAACGUCAUCAUUAGGUUCAGGACUAGAAACGAUGUUACCUAAGGAAAACUCAGUUUUUGAAGCCUGGUUGGAUUCAUGACUUUGCCUUGGAGUUGUGCUACACUCUUCUCCCUUCCUUCUCUUCUUGAAGUAUGUUGUCCAGUUGUCUUCUCAUGUAGCAGGGCCAUGAUUUCGGUGAGAUGCAAUCCUCUCUCUAGCUUUAGUUGAUUUAGUUUCUAGUGCAUUUAAUGUGGUUUGUAGUUGGCUUUGCUACAAGUGCAGUCUCAUCUGUCAUUGCAUUUGCUACUGCAGUUUCCUCUCUGCAUUUGCUAUUGCAGGUGCAGUCUUAGUUGGCUCUGCAUUAUUAGGCAAAUUCGGCUAGGUCAAAUCCCAGAAGUUGGGAUUCUACCACUUUACUUGGACAACUCUUCUCCCUCUGAAUGCCAACUUACGGUUAAUAAGGCUGAUUUCUAUAAAACGUGUGGUAAAAUUUCUUGGUUUGAGGUGAAUAGAAGUUCUACCCCUUUUGGUGGGGGGACUAGCCGAGGAAUAUGCCACUGUCAGCAACUUAGCCGUGCUUUGAAAUUGUGUUUCCACCGUAGUACGAAACAAAUUAAAUAUUCUACCAACUUCUGAUUUCUCCUUCAUUAGGAAAACCCAAAGGACACGUGUGUGAUCGUCAAUGAGGGUGACAAACCAUCUUGAUCUAGUGACAUUAUUUGCCUGUGAUGGUCCCCGUAUAAUCCUAUGAAUAAGGGAGAAAGGGUGAGACAGUUUAUAGUAUUGAGGUGGGUAUGUUUGGACAAUUGCAUUAUUUCACAUUGAAACAACUCCUGAUUUUUAAUGAAUAAUGUUGAAAACAUUUUCUUUUGAAGUAUGUAAAGUUUAGGUGGCCACACGGAUAAUGCCACAUGGCACAAUUUUUACUAUUUGGAGGUACUGUUGCACAAUAGUUGGUCGUAGCCUUGGGUUCAACUUCUAAUGCUUUAGCUUGGAGGAGGUGAAGUCCAAUGUAACACCCCGCAAUUGAGUGUUACAUUACCCGUAUAAUUCAUUCCUAUCCCUUGUCUAAUGAAUCAUAGCCCUGCAGACUUGUCUACUGCAUUUUAGCCCAUCAGACAGGUCUGGCUAGGCGAGGAGGUAUAUGAUCAGUUAAAUUUUAGAUAUCGCGCAAGUAUAGGAAAUUUAACAUACACAUUUAAUCCAUUCCUUUAAUUAACAUUUAAAAGAGAUUUUACAAAACAUGAUUUGUUACAAAUAUUCUAGCUACACUACAAAGGCCUUUUGCUUCUGCUAUUGACGGCCAUCCUCAGCACCUGUUGUAUUAUCUGCUCACAUGUUCCAACAUGGUCAUUGCAACAAACAUCACAAACACGAAAUAAAAAGGAUAAGCUAACUAAAAGAAAAAUAAAUGUACAUACAUGUAUAUCACAUAAAAAAUUUCAAAUACAUUGUUCAACGCACGAGCAUACAUAUCACCAUGCAUAUAAGUUAUCACUCAUAAACUACGUCUACUCUCUGACACCACCUUUCAAAGCAUAGUAUUAAGCUGGAAAGGAUCAUACCUCCUUUUGUUCAUCAGACCGAGCUCAAAACUACCUUAAUAAGGUAAUAUCUGAUGGAUACCAUUCAUCGUCUUGUGGCCGUUUUCACUCGUAAGUCCGUUAGUUCCUCUAAAAUCAUUUUCCCUUAAAAGGGGAAACCUCUACAAGGCAUUUACACUUCCAGGAAACACCUCAUCUGACUUUUCUAGCAAGGUGUACCACUUUGUGAAGCAUCAUCUGGUACCUUUAUUAAAUACUUGAAUUCAACAAACUCAGAGAACCAAUUGUCUGAUAUGUGCCCUUGUGAAUCUAUACAGAAGAUUCCAACUGGACCUCAAGAUAAUCAAAAAGGUAAUCUAGAUGUGAAGCUACGCCUUCUCAGAGCUUAAGAGAAAGGAGAUGAUUACUUAAUUAAGCAAAUAAAAUGGAGACAAAAACCAUAAUGUAGAUUGCGUGAAUACAAAUGGAUGACAAACAAAUAAGAACUUGGAAAGAUAAAGGAAAACAAAAGAUGAAAAGAAUAAGAGAGGGAGAAGAAGGGGAUGGUGGUUUUCCACUUGGAGGAUGGACCAAUCCAAGUUGAGUGGUGGUUGUCGCCUCUUGAACCUUGGUUCAAGAUAAGACAAGGGAGUGCAAGAACAUGAAAGAGCACUCUCACAGCUCUUACACAUGAUGGCUGAAGCAAAAUCACGCUGUAAUCAAAAUGUUCAAUCCUUUACAAGUGAGGAAGGGGUCUCCUUAUAUAGGCUUCGGAAGGACCUCAUAGCAAUUACACAAAUGGAUUCUAGAAACUAGGGCAACACAAAAUUAGGGCUACCUAGGAUGGCCUAGGUGAUGACACCUUGCACCCCAAGGGUGAUGCCAGGUCCUUAACCCUCUAGGAUGUCAACCAAGCCUCCUCCAAGCUCUCCAUGUACCAUUCCAAAGUUGGGUCAAGAUCAACUCUUCCUCUUCUCCAAAAACAAGGGUGCCUUCUUCAAACUAAGGUGUGUUGGAAGCACUUCGAAAAGCUUAGGUCAUGUGCCCCACUCUAUACAUCCCUUCAAAGGAGGUGCUCCAAGCAAUUCCAAAACGCAACAAAAACAUGAGACAAAGGAAACUAAGAAGGUGGACAAAGCUGGUUCCCUGUUGCUGUCAUUGUUGGCCUUCAAUGGAUGCAGUAUGUCCAAUUGCUGCCAAUGUUUACUGAGUGUAUUAAAAUACUCUGACUGAGAAAUCACCUUAUUUACUGAGUGUAUUAAAAUACUGCCAAUGUUAGAAAUAUUGUUUUAUAUUAAUUAGGGAAACAUAGACUUUUGAUAUUGGUAGAUAUUGUUGAUAUUGUUUUUUAACAAUAUUUUCUAUUUACCAUAUUUAUGUUUGGUUGCCAUAUGUACUUGUAUCAUUCUUCAUUAUAAAUAUAUUACCCUAUGUUUGUUUUAGACACAAGGGAGAUUAAUCCUAUACUUAGUUUUACUAUAUUCAAUACUCUUAAUCUCAAAUACUGAAGACAUAUUGUCCACAUUUGAGUAGGUUUAUUUCACUACAUCCCACAUCUCCUUGGCAGGGCCAUAGUACAUGAAAUUUUCCCCAAUUUCAUUGGUCAUGAUGUCGAGCAACCAUAACAUGACCAAACUGUUUCCUAGUUGUCAUUUGUUGAGGUGGGGUCAUCCUUUUCUGGACACUUGGAGUCUCCUGUGAUGUAACCUUCCUUCCCUUUUUCUUAAAGUAAGACCUUAACUGAUCGCACCCAUUGGGGGCAGUUCUUGAUAUUCAAUUUGUCACCAAUGAUAGGAAGAGCAGCCCCUUUGACUGAACUGGAGACCAAACCUUCUGCCUUGUUCUCUCCCAUGGUUGGUAGUGCUAGGUUAGGGAUGGUUCAGAUCUGAUACCUUGUGGAAAAUACGAUGUAUACUUUCUGAUUUGGGAAAAAUACAAAAAAAGUAUAAAUAGAAUAAAGGGAAUAAAUCUGCACACUAAUCUAUCCCUAAAAAUGAGGAAAAUAAUUCUCCCUAUAAAUGCUCUACCUAAAUAAGGAAUUAAAACUGAUCUUAUUUACAUUAAAUUUUAUUAUCAGCUGUACAAAUCAGAAUUGAAUUAUUCUGAUUGAUAUGUGCUGAUCUCCAACAGAUUCUGAUUGAUAUACGCUGAUCUCCAACAGCAUUCAUAGUUUUUCUCUUUCUGAUUUGAUGAUUGGGGCUCUUGUAAUUCGCCCACUAGAUGCUUUUCCACAAAAAGCACGUGUCACACUCUUCCUGUUGCUUUUGACCUUUAAGAUAUUCCACUUCAUUGCAUUGUCAAUAUUUUCACUAGUAGCUUUAACAUUGCAGUUGAAGAUGCCAUUGACGUGCUAGCAGUUGAGUUUGCUAUUUUUCACGUGGAAUCUCUUUAUUGUCGGUGUUUUGAUAGGAGUAAAAUGCCUUAGUUGUUUUGCUGGAUAGAAUACAAAAACGACCCAAAAUCUAGAAUAAAAAAAAAUUAUCGCUGCUCUCAAAAACAAGAAAAAGAAACACAGACAUAGGAAAAAACAAAAAGAGGACAGGACAGAGAAAAACAAAUUAAAAAGAGGAAUAAAAGGGAAAAUAAGUAAAUAAAAAAUAACAAAACAGAGAAACUAAUCAUAAAAAAUGCGUAAACAAAAAAAAGGGAAAGAGAGUAAAUAAAUAAAGAAUGGGUUUUUCUUUUUGUUUAAGAAAUUUUCAUAUGAUGGCAAAUGAUAAAUGUCGUUUGGGGUGUCAGCGUAAUGAUGCUUAACGUGGCUUUUAUAAGAAAAAUAGCAAAAUAUGAGGAAAAAGUAAGGAACAUAAAGAAAAUAAGAAACCUGUAAGAGAAAAAUGGAGUGUUGCCUAAUGGUCCAUUAGUUGGAAAAGAACUUGGUUGCUGGAGAAUAAAAUAGUGUGCAGAUGUGGGUUUUAGAAACUAGAGUGAAGGUUUUGGGUAUAGAAGAAUUGGCUUGCACGAGAGAAAAUAGUUUUAGAAACUUACCUAAAUAAGUAUGUUAAUUUUGAAAUUACCAUAACAAAAUAAGGGUAUUUUGGAGAUUCUGCGACUGCUCUGCCCACCAAUCAACAAUCUGUGUUAUGGCACACAACUGCUUGUCACGAUUGAUUAUUUUGGGCAACGGUUCUUUGCAUUAUCUAAAGCAGAUAGGCUUUAUAUUAACGCCUAACUUCAUUGUAAAGUCCUUUAUCUUUUCUCAAUGUUUUGUCAUAUCAUGCUAAACCAAUUUUUCUGCAAUGCUAAAGGGAGAGAGAAAAGGGGUAUAUAAGUAGGGAAGGUACCCAAAUGAAAAAGGGUUUGGGGGGUGUGGGCUUUUUUUGAAGUUUUGGAUGGUGAUUUUGAGUAGAGGCUGGCUCUUCUCAUCACCCAGGGGUUUGUUUUUACUUGCUUAGUGGCUAUUCCAUAUUUGGAAGGAGUUUAAUUCUAUCUGGAUUCAGUCACUGUUUGUUGAUUUCUCUAAUUCCAUUAUAUAGGGUAAUUUUCUUCUGAUUUACACAUGCUUCUACCAAUUUAACUAUCAACUUUUGUCUCAAAGCAACUUCAUUCAUUAUUAUUUUGUCAAGAAUGAUCUUCAUAACAAUUAAUAAAUCUUGAGCCAUACUUGAAAUUGUGCUGACCUUUCAAAUACAUUUGGCCUUUUCUCAAUGUCACCAAAAUUUCACCCAAGAAUACCUUGAAAUGGAUUUCGUACCAAAAAUUUACCCUGGGUAGUAUGCUUUCUGUCUACACUUCCAAGUUCUUAAACCAUUGAUCUAGUUAGAGGAAGGCAAUGUCGAAUUUAAUGAGGGUUUUCGGACAUGUAUACUUUGGACCGUAUUGAGUUGGAGAUUGACCUCGGGUCCUCCUUCAGACACUGUAGUAGCAAAAAAUAGGGCUUAAAGAAUGAAUAUUGAUGAUGGAUCCCUCUAAUGGCCACAAAUAGGACAAUAACCUAGCAAAACGUGGAGAGGUAAGGCCAAUGAGAGUAAAGGGGCCAAUUGUAUCAAGAACUGACUAUGGCAGGACAGCAUCUGAUCUUCAUGUGCCCCAGAAGCUCUGAAAAGUACACACAGGAGGGCAUGUCUGGUUACAAUCUAUGUGAUGAAGCCAGUUCUAUAGAUUUGAUGUGAAGUCUGGUUGCUGACCCGAGAAGGGUGG